rnacentral:tRNA from 1 species
UUAAUUGGCAGAACACUGCAUUAGAAUUAGAAUCUUAUCACCC